GAUGAACGCUGGCGGUAUGCUUAACACAUGCAAGUCGAACGAAGUCUUCGGACUUAGUGGCGGACGGGUGAGUAACGCGUGAGAAUCUGCCUACAGAUUGGGGAUAACGUCGGGAAACUGACGCUAAUACCGAAUAUGCCGAGAGGUAAAAGAUUUAUUGUCUGUAGAUGAGCUUGCGGCUGAUUAGCUAGUUGGUGGGGUAAGAGCCUACCAAGGCGACGAUCAGUAGCUGGUCUGAGAGGAUGAGCAGCCACACUGGGACUGAGACACGGCCCAGACUCCUACGGGAGGCAGCAGUGGGGAACUUUCCGCAAUGGGCGAAAGCCUGACGGAGCAACGCCGCGUGAGGGAGGAAGGUCUUUGGAUUGUAAACCUCUUUUCUCAAGGAAGAAGUUCUGACGGUACUUGAGGAAUCAGCCUCGGCUAACUCCGUGCCAGCAGCCGCGGUAAU
rnacentral:rRNA from 1 species